GGAGAUCAAGCACAUCCAUACAAAGGGCGGCUGGUUGGGAUGGCAUCCUUUAAGCAGCAUAGUCACCCAUGAGCAGAUUUCAAGUCAACCAUGAAUGGUACAAGCUUGGCCAGGGACUUCAGGAAGUGGCUGGUAGGCUCUGCAAGGCUUGGGGGCAGGAGCACUGUGGCUUCCCAGGAAUGUCACAGGCAAACAGUCACCAGCAAACCCUAGUGCACACAGUCUUUUAUUAGUUGUGAUUAAGGAGCUAUAGUAGUCCUGUUUACACCGCUCUAACAAGUCAGGACCUGCAGUACGUUAUUGGCUUGCGGCCCACAACUUGCUGUCCAUUCUCAACAGAAUCAAUCUGAAGUUGAAAACAUCCCCUGUAGGAAGCGUACACAUCCCUGCUCAUACAGGAACAGAAACAGUAAUAA